rnacentral:rRNA from 1 species
UCUAUGUCGGCGACCGGCGCACGGGUGCGUAACGCGUAUGCAACCUACCCAUUACAGGGGGAUAACACUGAGAAAUCGGUACUAAUACCCCAUAACAUCCAGGGAGGCAUCUUCUUGGGUUGAAAACUCCAGUGGUAAUGGAUGGGCAUGCGUUGUAUUAGUUAGUUGGUGGGGUAACGGCUCACCAAGACAACGAUACAUAGGGGGACUGAGAGGUUAACCCCCCACAUUGGUACUGAGACACGGACCAAACUCCUACGGGAGGCAGCAG